ensembl:lncRNA
CUCUUUUUCACACACACCCAUGAUUUUCUGCGCAGUCUAAUAAGGAUGCUGUUAUAUGGACUCCAAUCUCUAUGAUGACCACCCAUGUCUUUGUCAACUUCAUGCUAAAAGUGCCCAAAGCCCGUGGUGGUGGCAGUGCAUGGCGUUUGUGUGGAAGCAGGUCUGUUGGGAGUGUUAAGUACGAUCAUCUCAUACACUCACCACAACUCUGGGAAGUUCCAUCAAUAUUGUUUGCUGUCACUUUUCCUGCAAAGCUUUAACCAUCAGAGAGUUAUCUUUUACUGGGGCUUUUAGCUGCAGGAGACUGAAUUACUAAGUUUUUUUUUUUGUGGAUCUGAUUUCUUCUUUCGCAGGAGUGGAUCUAAUCACAGCCUGUAGAAGGUGGUCCGAGUUCAGUUACAAUGGAACUGUGAAUGUGAAUUGUCCCAUGAAUGUGAACGUAACUUGUAUCCGGGUCCGCACUUUUUCAGGAAGUAGAGUAACCUGUGCUGAAGGCCUGUUGUGGUGAUGACGUGUCAUGACAUGUUUUGGCCCAAAUCUGCAGUGACUUUGAAAAAGUGGAAGCUCCUCUGAAUAUUGUGGAGUUUCUUGAUUUUGCGUUAAUUUCUGUGAUCACAAAAAGGUGAAAUUCUGGACUGACACAUGGAAGAUAUGGAAUGAUAACAGAAGAAUGUGACUUUGGGUUGUACCGUGUAUUUUUUUCAUGUAGCUUUAUUAUUUAGUAUAAAUGAAGGCAAGUGUGUGUUCUGUUCUUCAUCUCUGCAGUCUUGUGUUCCCUGAUAGUCAAUGAUUGCUGGAGCUCUGGAAAUAGCAGGUGAGAUUGCAGGCCGGAGUCCCGUCGCUGUCCAAGGAACCAAAAUCAACCUCCUCUACUCCUGAGACCACAGUGUGACUGAGAGCCUAGACUACAUGGCUACUUGGAACAUGAACAUGUUGCAGACACAGGAUCUUAUGAAGUCAGCGCAGGCAGCCCUGGAAAAGAAGAGUCCGAAAGACGUGCCCUUCUCCAAGCUUUAAAGGAGAAGAUCCAGGGCUGUUGAAGCUGCGGUGGAACUGAGACAUCAUCAUCCACAUAUAUCUUCAGUUCUUCUUGCUAAGAGAACGAGAAACUCGGACACAACAGUACAUCCUGACCAUUGGUACUGUGUACACAUCAACAUACACACACGUCUCCAUGCUGGACAUCUCAGGAGCUUUCACACAGUGCUAGGAAUAUCCCGGGACAGAGAAACGCACCUUCUAAGUGAGCGAGUUUAGCGUCAACCGGUGAAAUUUGCUGUAGCGUGAACACUUCGCCUCUGUGAGCUUCACUCUCCGUAGGGUUCACUGUAAUUAGACAUAAAAUGUACAUAGUUUAUUUUUCAUGCAUUUAGGAUUUCAUGUUUUUUUUUUUUUUUUUUUUUUUUUUUUUUUUUUUUUUUUACUCUUUGAGGAACAGAAAUGAUAUUUCGAGGCAGCUUCUUCUUCACUACCUGCUCCGUUUGACUCAAAAAUGUAACGACCGGUUUCAAAAAGUCACGAUGUCUUCAGUUCAUGUGAUUUUACUGUUGAAUUUAAACAGGAAAUGUGAAAUAUUUUUUCCCUUUGUUUCCUCUACUGUCUUUUUGCUGUGAUCUUGAACACAGUUGUAAUUUAAAAAAAAAAAAAUAAUAAUAAAAAAAUUAUAAUUCUAGUUCUCUCACUUUCCUUGUCCUAAUUGUCCUGUAUCUGUUAAAUCCGUUUCAUCUCUGGUCUUUCUGUCUGUAUGAAC